rnacentral:lncRNA from 1 species
UGCAUUGAAUUUUACAGAAGCUCUAGUGUCAUUCUGAAAUGCUGCUUUUUAUUUCUUCAGCAUGAUUCACUUUCGCAGCAGCUGAAGUCGGAUCAGCUUGAAAAUUUGAAGAUGUUCAAGACUAUGCUGGAGCGCACGAUAAAUUUCUUACAAGUACCCAAAGAAAAUGUCAUGCCGAGUUUUAAAGACAAGCUUGGAUCCUAUGAGAAGCAGAUUAUGAGUUUCCUAACUACACAUAGGCCGGAAAUGCCUAUGCCUCAAAUGCAACAAGGGCAACUUCCCCUUUCUCAAAUGAACCCUCAGUUGCAACCAAUGACCAUGCAAAGGUCAGUAUCAUCGAUGCAGCAGAACAAUAUUUCAAACAUGCAGCAAUCGAUGAUGAACUCUCUCCAGCCAGGUUCUAAUAUCAGUUCAGGACUAGGAAAUGCGAUGACCUCAUCACAGGGGGUUACUAUGGGAUCUAUACAACAGAACUCUCAAAGUGGGUUGACCAUGUUACAGCAAAGUCAGCAUCUUCAGUCGAAUCUGCAACGGCAGCAACAGCAGCAGCAGCGUGCUGGUUAUCUCCCACAGCAGAUGAAAUCCGGAGUGUCCUUUCCUAUUUCUCCUCAAUUGCUUCAAACUUAUUUGUCCCAGCCACCACAGCUUUCUACUCUGAAAGUUGACCAGCAGAACCUACUUCCAUCACUUCCAAAAACUGGUAGUCCUCCUCUUUCAACUCCUUUACUUGCAGAGUUCUCCGUUCCAGAGAAAUCAGCUGUUUCUGGGAAGUCGGCUGUUACAGACCAUUCUGCCGUGUUAGUUCCAAUGGCUGACAUUGCAGCAGAAGAUUUUGAUGCGGAUUCCGUGUUGGAGGAACUGCGUCAUAUUCGACAGAAGCUACUAUUGAUGGAGAAGAGGUUCAGCCUCGUGCUCGGUACCCUACUUGGGAUUGUGUUGGGAUCUGUGUUUGCUAUCCUAUAUGGUAGUUUGUUUUAGUUUUUGUCCUGCACUUGGUGUUUGCUUUAACUUGUAAUAAUCGAAGGUGACUGAUCUGGAUUUCAAUGAAUUGCUCUGUAUCGGUUCAUUUGUUUGUUGUGAACUGUGGCGGCUGGUCAGUCGCAUGUACUUUUCAAGAGUGACGCCAAGACCCGUUAACUAUAGUCCGGCAAGGAAGAGCCAUCCUUGGUGCCAGCGUCUACGCUGCUCUUGAUCGGCAGUCUCUGUCGUCGUUGGUCGCCGCCAUCCUGCUUGUACUCAUUUGUAGAAUAUGUACCGUUCUUAGAGAACGAGUAUGUGUGAAAAGACUAGUACAAAACGUCGUUGGAAAAAGAAUUUCUGAAGAGUAGCUCCGACAAAGGUGGUCCGGUCGGUGGGCAGGGUGUUUUAAAAACUUGCCGGAAAAUUUUAUGUCCUGCAGAAGUCGCCGCAGCUCCAGUCGCCAGAACUCCCCGUCCGGCCACCGAAGUUAAAAAUUGCCACUAAAAAAUAUUAGUUUAGAAAAUGACUUAUUUCCCCUCAAGGGUAGAGUGUUGGAAUUUCACGGAAUUGAGAAUCCACUUGAAAAAAUCAUGGAAAUUAGAUUGUCAUAGGAAAUUGAAUUUAUGUUUCUAUGCUGAAAAUAAAUUUCAGUCGAGAAUGUUAAAUCAAAAGGGAAAAUUUUAACUUUCUUAUUGUAACAAAAAAUAGUCACAUUUUCGUUAAAUUUUCGACCUAUCGAACAUAAUCUUAUUUGAUUUCGUCCUAAAAUUUCGAAAAUUAUCACUCUAAUUAUAUAAUUACAUGGAUAUCCUUCAAUCUUUCUAUUUUUAAAGCUAAACCUUACUCAAACGAUCAUUUCCAAAAUUGCACCGAUGAAUGACCCGAAGCUUGAAGUCGAAGAUCCUAUCUCAGAGGUAAAAGAAAUUAUUUUAUUUUUUGUAAUUAGCGCCGGCGGCUGACGUCCGGCCAAGAAUAAACAACUCAGAAUUAAAACCACCGCGCCAAAAAGGAAAAAUAUUCAAAUCUCCUCCUCCUCAGUCGUCGGAAGCUUCCGUCGCCACUGAUUCAUUUGCUUUUAUAUCGAGUUUGGACGAUCGCCGACUGUGUGAGAAAACGAUACUGUUAUCACUCUUCCGAUCAGCUACAUCCAUUGACAACAUCGCGGCGUCGAAUCAACGGUCUUUCACAAAACCUUUUAUCGCGCACAAUUCUCUGAGCAAGUCGUAAACCGGACGAGCAGAAUUAUGCGCUUCUGAUCGUUUCUCGUAGAUAUGAUUAAGGAUGCACUGUUCUUAUGUCUGAUCCUAAUUCUUUUAUCCAGUCUGAUUAUUUGCAGAAUAUACCAUUGAAGAUGGUCAAAAUGGAAAGCGAAUCGCAGCUGCCAGCAGGCUACGACAGUAAACUCCCUGAUAUGGAUGGGAAUAAUUUGAUGCCUGCUGUUCAAGUGGGAGAAGCUGCUGUGGAAGGGGGUGACUGGAGAGCUACAUUGCAGGCCGGCUCGAGGCAGGGAAUCAGGAACAAAAUGUGAGUUCAGUGUAGCCAUUAUGAACGACGAACAAGUGUAAAGAAUUCUAUACCUGUGUGUGAAAUAUACUGUCGCCAUUUGGUAACAACUAAUUGUUUUCUCAAGGCUUCUUAAUGUUGGAGAAUGAAGAACAGUUGAUUGAUUACCUUCUUCUUUAGUAUCUAUUAAUUUUUCUAAUCACUGGAGAUCCUGAAUUAUAGAUGUGGCUAUGACUUAUGGUACAGAAUGGACAUAUUGAAGAUGCAUCUACCUUUUUCUGGCGAACAGGGGCUGCAAGAACUAGAGACAAUUGCUGAACGAUUUGAGGGAAAGAUUUAUAAUUCUGCCACUAGUCAGGUUUGUGUUAAUAGGCUGGUGAUGCUUGUAAAACGUCUGCUUCUGAUCGUUUCCCCAUAGAUAUGAUUGAGGAUGCACUAUUCUUAUGUCACUCUAAUUCUUUUAUCCAGUCUGAUUAUUUGCGGAGGAUAUCAUUCAAGAUGCUCACAAUGAAGAGCAAAUCACAGCCGGUUAAUUCAGCAGGCAACAGCAGUAAACCCCCUGAUCCAGGAGUUAAUAUGCAGGCUUCUGUGAUGAUGUCACCUUCUACAUCUAGCCAUCUGCGGAAUCCGUUAGCCUCAGUCCAACAGUCAACACAAUCCAUGCUUCAGCAACAAUUGCAACAGCAACAGGUGAUAUUGAUGCAACAGCAGCAGCAUUUUCAACAAUUGAUGUCUCAUCUUCAGUCACGUCCGGGACAACUGCAGCAACAACUUGGUCUGAACCAGCAGAUUAUUUCUCUCCAAAGGGAGAUGCAAAAGAGGCUACAAGCUUUAGGGCAAUCAAUGAACAUGCAAAGCUCAGUAUCAUCGAUGCAUCCGAACAAUAUGUCAAACAUACAUCAUGGUUUAUCCAGCCAAUUGAUGAUGAACUCUCUCCAGGCAGGUUCUAAUACCGAUUCUGGACAAAGAAAUGCUAUGGCCUCAUCACUGGGGACUACUAUGGGAUCUAUACAACAAAACUCUUCAAGCGCUUCCCAGCAGGCAAAUAUUGGUGGUAUGUCCUCGCAAAGUGGGAUGCCCAUGUGGCAGCAAAGCCAGCAUCUUCAGUCCAAUUCCAAUAUGCUUCAACAGCAACAAGUAUUGCAGUCACAGCAGUUCGAACAGCGACAGAUGCAGUUUCUGCAACAUCAGCAUCAACAACAACUUGGUCCGACCCACCAGAAUAUUUCGCUGCAAAGGGAGAUGCAACAGAGGCUACAAGCUUCGGUUCUACCACAGCAGAAACUGUUAUAUCAAUCAAGUAUGUUUCUUCCAACUCUAGUCUUUUCCAGCUAAGAUUCUGGAGUAUCUCUGUCAUGUUCGUUUACACAAUAAAAAUCAACUCUUACAACCAGUUACCCCUUUGAAAGUGUUGGAACGUCUGGUUUAUGGUGUUAUGCUUGUUGAUUGUGUCAUAUAUUGUUGUUCGAAAAACCAUUAUGUAUGUGUCAUUAAAUAUGCUGACAUUUUGAACAGAUUUAUGGUAUAAUUUAAUCUGUCUCGAAAUUUUGCAACUUCAUCACUAAUCCUAAAUGUCCUCGAGUUAUGGACCUGGUAGCAAAAAUCUUCAUUGAUGCUGGUUUUUGUUGUAGCGUCUCUAGAUUCUACUGAGACAAGUGGAGUGGAUUGGCAAGAAGAAUUCUAUCAAAAGGUUGGAAUUCAAGUGCUAACCGUUGAGUACACUCUUAAUUUCAUACUAAUCUUCUGAUUUUUUUUUCCAGAUAAAAGCCAUGAAGGAGAUGUACUUGCCUGAACUAAAUGAAAUGUACCAAAAAAUUGCUACAAAGUUAGAGCAGGUGUGUACUUUCUUAAAUUCGUCAUUACUCACUUGCAUCAUUUGACCUAACCUGUGUCCUGAUUUCACUUGCAUUGCGCAUUAGCUGGUUGAUUUUUCGUGUAUAGUUUCUUCGGUUUAUCGAUCGAUUGAUGGGUUUUUCAUAGUUUCGGGACACUUCUUUAUACUGUCCUACUUCGUUUCAUCGUCCCCUGCAAUUUAAACCAAGGAACCUGGACGACUUUUUCCGUGUGUCCUAACUUUGCACUCUAAAAUGCUUCUUCUUUUUCGUCUCCAGCAUGAUUCACUUCCACAGCAGCCGAAGUCGGAUCAGCUUGAAAAGUUGAAGAUGUUCAAGACUAUGCUGGACCGCAUGAUAAAUUUCUUACAAGUACCUAAAGAAAAUGUCAUUCCGAGUUUUAAAGACAAGCUUGGAUCCUAUGAGAAGCAGAUUGUGAGUUUCCUGUCUGCAAAUAGGCCGAAAAAGCCGAUGCCUCAAAGCCAGCAUCUCCAGUCCAAUGCCAGUAUGCUUCACCAACAGGAUUAUGUGAAGCAAGAGCAUGAUUAAACCAGCAGUAUCAACAUCGACAGACGCAGUUACAUCAGAUUAUUUCUGCUCUCCUAAUUAGGUAGCAUAGUUAGUAAAAUGCGGUAUGAAUACAAUACAGUAUUAAAUUUUUUGGAGUUUUAUACGUCAUUUUAAUAUUUUGCAGGGCUUUUAAAAGUUUGGUAUCAGGUUUAAAAGUUAACUAGUUUUUCAUUACAGUAUGGGUCACACUAGUUUUUGAUAUCUUGAAAGGUUGUUCCUUCAUUUGUUUCGCAAUAAAAAAACACUUUGUCUCGAUUGUGAUGUGUGUUAAUAUGCCAAGCAUGAAGCAUAGUCGUUUCUUUAAUAUCCAUAGUGAUAUAUGGGGGCUAUCUCGGAUUACCUCUCCUCAAUCGAGCUAGGUGGUUCAUUGUGAUGUUCGAUGAACACACUAUGGGGUGAUAUGGAAAUUUUUCAUAAAAGAGAAGUCUGAAACAAUGGGUAUUUGCAGCAAAUUCUACACCAUGAUCGAAAGAUAAUUUCGCCCUAAAAUUUAAGUGCUGAAAAUCGAUAAUGCACGAUACUACUUCAACUCAUCCAUUGACAAUUUUAUGUCUUCUAAUGGCAUCAUUCGCUCCAACCCGUAUGUGGAGACUCUUGAACAAAACAACAUUGCAGAAGAAUCAUCACCUCCUUGACAUGGCACCAUCACUUAUGUUCGGUUUUCGGUUUUUGGGUUCCUAGGUACCUACAAGAAAGGCUUUCCACUGCAGCCCAUCAAGUUGAAUUUGAAUUUUAUUUUAGAUAUAAAAAUUGGGUAGUAGAUGAAAUUAACGAUUUGUCAAAAAAAAAAGAUGAAAAUAAUGAGGUUCGCUAAAGAAGGAAAAAUUUGAUAGAUCUUUCGGUCAAUUGUUGAAGUUAGAUGACCGUGUAAUCAAAUACAAAUACUUAAGUGAUUAUUAUAGCAUUUAAACCCCUUAAUUUAUUUUCAGUCACCACUUUCGUCUAUAAAAUUAAAACCACCGCGUAAUCCCUUUGUAUCUUUCUUCAUCGAAAAAAAAACAAACCACCGCGAUUUCUCCCUCUCAAUUAGCCCUAACUCUCUUCCUCCGUCGUCGUAGCCGGAAGCUUCCGCCACCACCGUUUCCCCCAUAUAUUUGUCGAUUGUGUGGGAAAACGAUACUGUCUCUCUUCCCAUCAGCUAUGAUCCAUUCCUAUAAUUUGUGGCGUCGAAUCAACGAUCUAUCUGACAACCUUUUACUCGCACAAUUGUCUGAGCAAACUCGUGAACUGGGCAAUUAUAAUUUCAAUAGAGGGUAUUGAUCGUUGUCUCGGAUUUCAAGUUCAGAGAAGCAUAUUUUUUUUGUUUCAAAUUCAGCUAUUGUGAAUUCUGGUUUCCUGUUGCUCGAUGAGCUAAUAGUAGAUUUGCUUGUUUCUGUAUUCAAAUAGUUCUCAGUAACAUGUAUAUUUGUUUUGAUGAACGUGGAAACUGCUAUUUAUGGGUUGUGCAGGAUAUAAUCUGUUAACUUAAUCUGCUUUAUAAUCUGAUUGGGGAGAAUGGAUGGGAAUAAUUGGAGGCCUGCUGCUCCAGGCGGAGAAGCUGCUAUGGAGGGGGGUGACUGGAGAGCUACAUUGCAGACUGACUCGAGGCAGAGAAUCGUGAACAAAAUGUGAGUUCAGUGUAGCCAUUAUGAACGACGAACAAGUAUAAAGGAUCAUGUACCCGUGUCUGACAUAUUCUUAAUUAUGAAUGUGGCUUUAACUUAUGGUACAGAAUGGAAACAUUGAAGAGGCACCUACCCUUUUCUGGUCAAGAGGGACUGCAGGAACUAAAGAAAAUUGCUAUACGAUUUGAGGAAAAGAUUUAUACUGCUGCCACUAGUCAGGUUUGUGUUAAUUGGCUGGUGAUGGUUGUAAAACGUCUGCAUGAAUUUAUUUAGGAAAAUUAUGUGCUUCUGAUCGUUUCCCGUAGAUAUGAUUGAGGAUGCACUAUUCUUAUGUCACCCUAAUUCAUUAUCCAGUCUGAUUAUUUGCGGAAGAUAUCAUUGAAAAUGCUCACAAUGGAGAGAAAAUCAGAGCUGCCUAAUUCAGCAGGCAAUGGCAGUAAACCCCCUGAUCCAGGAGGUAAUACAUAGUUAUAGUGCUCUCCCCGUUCGCAGAUUUUGUGCAUACGUAUUGAAUAAUGUUAUGAAGAAUGCUACAAUCUGCUUAUGCUCUUUAUCAAGUUCUCAUCUUUAAUGGAAGUGUGUCAAGAAAGACGUUAUUUCAAGUACCUUUUGGUUUUCGCUGCUAAUUUUUUGUGAUUGUUGUUUCUCUAAUUCCCAUCUAUAUUCAUUUUGAACAGCAUCCCCUAGUAUGCAGUCCCAAGUUCCCAGUCAAGGGCAACCACUUCCUAUUCCAUUGCCAGCUAAUCAACCUCAAGCACGCCAACAAUUGAUGUCUCAGAAUAUGCAGAACAAUAUGAAUCCUGCUGGACUCCAAAGUUCCGCUACUUUACAAACUCCGCUGCCCCCUGUUUCUGGUAUGAACCAGACUCCAAUCAAUGUCGCCGGCCAAAAUGCUAGCAUGCAGAAUAUGUCUAACAUGGCUCAGAACCCAGUUGCAACUUCAAUAGGCCAAGGGGUUUCAUCGACCGUGUUUGGAAACUCUCAUAGACAGAUGCCUGGGAGGAACCAGGUUAUUGGCCAACAACAACAGCAAUCACAGAAUUCUCAACAGUAUAAUUAUCAGCAGCAGCAGUUCCAACAACAGUUGCUCAUGAAGCAGAGAAAUAUAGCACACCCCAUGAUUCAGUCACAACUUCAGCAACAGCAGCAGCCACAGCAAAAUGCUUUGCAGUCAUCUCAAUUCCAGCAGCCUCAGCAAAAUGCUUUGCAGUCAGCUUCUAUGUCUAACCUUUCGCAGAAUCAGUCAUCCUCAGUCCAACAGUCAACACAAUCCAUGCUCAGGCAGCAACAAUUUCAACAGCAGGCUGUUGGUCUUCAUCAACAACCAUCGUCAAUGAUGCAGCAGCAGUUGCUAUCUACACAACAACAACCACAAGUCUUGCCGACACAGCAGCAGCAACAACAACCGCAAGCAAUGCAUUCUCAGCAACAAAUGGCGGGGCAACCGGCCAAUGCUGCAUCCAUGCAGCAACAUCAGUUUGUUGGGCAACAAAACAAUAUGGGUGACUCGCAGCAACAACAGAGAUUGCUCAACCAGCAGGCUAAUCAGCAGCAGCAACAGUCUCAACAGCAGUCUCAGCAGCAGCAGAUGACUGCUCAGCAUCAACAACAACUGGGUUCUCAAAGUAAUUUCUCAGGUCUACAGCAGCCAACACAACAGCAUUUGCUUGGAAUACAGUCUGGCAACUCGAGCAUGCAGAACAAUCAACAUGCAGUAAAUAUGCUACAGCAGUCUAAGGUUCCUCUCCAGCAACAAACCCAACAGAAUUCUUCUAAUUUAUUACCAUCACAACAAGGGCAGCCGACGCAAUCACUGGCAUCCCAGCAACAACUGAUGUCUCAGAUUUCGUCACAUCCAGGACAACUGCAGCAACAACUUGGUCAGAACCAACAGACCACUUCGCUCCAAAGGGAGAUGCAACAGAGGCUACAAGCUUCAGGGCAACCACCGGGCUCUUUGGUUCAACCACAGAAUGUGGUUGAUCAGCAGAAGCAGUUAUAUCCAUCGCAAAGACCACUUCCAGAAACAUCAUCAAGUAUGUUUCUUUGUCUUCUCAACUCUAGUGUUUUUCCAGCUAAGAUUUUGGAGUAUUGUUGUCAUGUUCAUUUAUUUAGACAAUGAAAAUCAACUCUAACAAUCGGUUACCCCUUUGGAGUGGUCUCCGAUGUCUGGAUUUAUGGUGUUAUGGUUGUUGAUUCUGCCAUAUAUUGCUGUCCUUGGGGUAUUAUUUCAUCUGUCUCAAAAUUGUGCAAUUUCACUAUCCUAAAUGUCCUCGAGUGAUGUACCUGGUAGAGAUCUUCAUUGAUGCUAGUUUUGUUGUAGCGUCUCUAGAUUCUACAGCACAAACUGGCCAGCCAAAUGGAAUGGAUUGGCAAGAGGAAGUCUAUCAAAAGGUUGGUCGAUGCUGUGAUGAGUUGGCUCGUCCGUUUAUUCCUUUGGAAUUCAAGCACUAACCGUUGAGUCCACUCUUAAUUUCUUACUAAUCUUCCCAUUUCUUUCCAGAUAAAAGCCAUGAAGGAGAUGUACUUGCCUGAACUAAAUGAAAUGUUCCUAAAAAUUGCUUCAAAGUUACAGCAGGUGUGUGCUUUCUUAUAUUCGUCAAAUCAGUUUUGUGUCAAUCACUCACGUUUUUCCAGUCAUUACCCACUUGCAUCAUUUUACCUAACCUGUACGUCGAUUUCUAAAUCCUACAUAUUUUAGUAUCCCAAUACGGCUAGGAAGUGAGAUCACGUGCAUUGGGCAUUUUGCUCUUUGUGUUUUUGUGUAUAGUUUCUUCAUUUAAUGAUCGAUUGAUGAAUUUUUCUUAGUUUCAGUACUUCGUUUCAUCGUGCCCUGUACCGUAAACUAAGGAACCCGGACUACUUUUUAUUUGUACCCUAACUUUGCAAUGAUUAUUACAGAAGCUCUAGGGUCAUUUUGAAAUGCUGCUUUUUUUUUCUCCAGCAUGAUUCACUUUCGCAGCAGCCGAAGUCAGAUCAGCUUGAAAAGUUGAAGAUGUUCAAGACUAUGCUGGAGCGCAUGAUAAAUUUCUUACAAGUACCCAAAGAAAAUGUUAUUCCGAGUUUUAAAGACAAGCUUGGAUCCUAUGAGAAACAGAUUAUGAGUUUCCUAACUACAAAUAGGCCGAAAAAGCCGAUGCCUCAAAUGCAACAAGGGCAACUUCACCCUUCUCACAUGCAAUCCUUGCAACAAGCACCAUCACAAAACCCUCAACCGCAGUCUCAUGAAAAUCAAAUGAACCCCCAGUUGCAACAAAUGAACAUGCAAAAUUCAGUAUCAUCCUUGCAUCAGAACAAUAUGUCAAAUAUGCAGCAAUCGAUGAUGAAUUCUCUCCAGCCAGGUUCUAAUAUCGAUUCUGGACAAGGAAAUGCUAUGGCCUCAUCACAGGGGGCUACUAUGGGAUCUAUACAACAAAACUCUUCAAGCGCUUCCCAGCAGGCAAAUAUUGGUGCCAUGUCCUCGCAAAGUGGGUUGACCAUGUUGCAGCAAAGCCAGCAUCUUCCGUCCAAUCCCAAUAUGCUUCAACAGCAACAAGUAUUGCAGUCACAGCAGUACAAACAGCAGUUUCAACAGCGACAGGUGCAACAGAUACUUCAUCAGCAUCAACAACAACAACAACAAAGGCAGCAACAAAUAAAACAACAAGAAAACCAGCAGCAACAGCAGCAGCUACCUACACAGUUGCAGACACAACAAAUGUCACAGUUACAUCAGCAGAUGAACGACACAAAUGAGAUGAAGAUUAGACAGGGGUUGGGGGGUGUUAAGCCAGGCGGUGUCUUUCAGCAACAUCUCUCAAAUGGUCAGCGAGCUGGUUAUCCCCCGCAGCAGAUGAAAUCCGGAGCUUCCUUUCCUAUUUCCUCCCCUCAAAUGUUUCAAACUCCUUCGCCCCAGUUACUACAACAUUCUUCUCCGCAAGUUGACCAGCAGAACCUCCAUCCAUCACUUCCCAAAACUGGAACUCCUCUACAGUCUGCACACUCGCCUUUUGUUGUUCCGUCUCCUUCAACUCCUUUGGCACCAUCCCCUAAUCCCGGCGAUUCUGAAAAACCCGGCAUCUCUUCACUUUCAAAUGCUGGAAUUUCUGGGCAUCAACACCCAACUGCUGGACAAGCACCUGCACAGUCUCUUGCGAUCGGUACUCCUGGGAUCUCUGCUUCACCGUUGCUUGCAGAGUUCUCCGUUCCGGAAGGGGUACACGGUAAUGCUUUCACAACUGUUUCUGGGAAGCCAUCUGUUGCAGAGCAGCCCCUUGACCGGUUACUUAAAGCGGUUGGUGAUAUUUGGAACCCUUGUUAUUACCUGGACACCUUUAGCAGAAUAAUUUUAACAAUCUUGUUUUUGUUUACAGGUAAAGUCUGCUUCUCCCCAGGCUUUGAGUGCAGCUGUGAGUGACAUCGGUUCGGUUGUUAGUAUGAUCGACAGAAUUGCAGGGUCUGCUCCAGGUAAUGGAUCUAGAGCCGCUGUGGGGGAGGAUUUAGUGGCGAUGACGAAAUGUCGUCUUCAAGCAAGAAAUUUCAUCACUCAAGAUGGAAUUAGUGGAACUAGAAAAAUGAGGAGAUUCACUAGUGCCAUGCCCUUAAACGUCGUAUCAUCCGCUGGCGGUGGAAGUGAUAGCAAGCAAUGGAGCGGUGCAGAGACCUCUGAUCUCGAGUCUACUGCAACAUCUGGUGUUAAGAGGCCUAGGUUGGAGGUAAGUGACUCAGUUUGAUUCAUAAGACAUUUCAGAUCACACAUUGGACAACUAAUUGAACCUAGAGCAUGUUAUACAUAAGUAAUUUGAAACAUGUGCGAUACCUUUGAUAUGAGCCAGAAUGACCUCGUCAACCUUUGUUCCUUUAUGGUACGAAAAAUGUUCAAUAACCAGUCCUAGAAGAUACAUUCGAUGAAAAAGUAUAAGCAGAUUUGUGCGAGGAAAGAUUUCAACACUAGAGCCUAUAAUUAGUUAAAUACUGCUUUGCAGGCAAAUCAUGCAUUGCUGGAAGAGAUAAGGGAAAUCAACCAGGGACUAAUUGACACUGUGGUUGAAAUUAGCGAUGAGGAUGUUAAUCCCAGCGCUGAAGGCGGGGAAGGAACUAUCGUAAAGUGUUCGUACUCUGCUGUAGCCCUUAGCCCCGGUUUGAAAUCGCAGUAUGCUUCUGCUCAAAUGGUCAGUUCCGCAACCCAACCCCUCUGUGAUUUAAUUCUACUUACAGUCGAGUCAUUCUCGAAGAAAUCUCCCUAACUUUUUAUAUUCUGUCAUUUUCUGUCCCGUACGUAUAAAAUGCAGUCCCCAAUUCAGCCGCUACGAUUGCUCGUGCCUAUAACUUAUCCGAGCUGCUCUCCUGUUCUACUGGACAAGUUCCCAGUUGAAGCCAGGUAAGAAAAAAGACAAAAACUCUACUGCUGUUUAUUAACUGAGAUCAAAACUGGACUAAAUUGCUAAAUGACCUUUGUUUCAUCAAAUUGAUGCAGCAAGGAGUAUGAGGAUGUAUCAGCGAAGGCAAAGUCGAGAUUCAGCAUAUCUCUUCGCAGCCUAUCGCAACCGAUGUCGCUCGGGGAGAUAGCAAGGACAUGGGACAUAUGUGCCCGGGCAGUGAUAUCGGAACACGCCCAGCAGAGCGGCGGAGGUAGCUUCAGUUCCAAGUAUGGCACCUGGGAGAAUUACUUGACCGCCGCUUAAUCGAUCUGAUAUUUAUCAUCUCCUAAAAUUUGUAGUUAAUUGAAAUGUUCAGUUUGUAUUCCUCUGUAUGUAUGGGAUCUUUUGGUGUGUUGUAGACAUCAAGAACAUUAUCGUUUAUUCCAGAUUUGUUUAGCUUGGUACAUUUCUCGUUCCCUCGAAUGUCGGGACUAAAACAUUCGACAUCUUUGUAAUCUAGCACACCAUCGACCACAAGAUCGUCCUUAAUUUGUGGUUCAGCUUGGUGAGUACAUUUCUCGUUUCCUUGAAUGUCGGAAAUAAAAUAAUCGACAUCUUUGUAAUCUAGUGCACCAUCGACCACUAGAUCGUCCUUUGACGGAUAAAUCUCCUAACGGCUAUGUGAUUUUAACCCAAAAGGCGGUAUAAUUUUGAUUUAUAGAGCAAGUAUGGGGCAUAGAUAUCUAAAUAGAUUCAUGAUUGAUACGAACAUUACUUAUAUCAGUCCAUUAACCCCAUGGGUGCGAAUAUUUUCCUCUUUAACCGAAGUGGUAAACAUCCAAUCUCGUAACGGAUAAAUGUACUUGUAACUCAAAAAAUCUACAUUUUUUUAUGGAUUUUGAUAUAAUAAUAAUUCUAUCUCCUAACGGUUAUGUGAUUUUAACUCAAAAAGCCAUAUAGUUUUGAUUUAUAGAGUAAGUAUGGGACAGAGACACCUAAACACAUUCAUAAUUAAUACGAACAUUUCUCAUAUUAGUCGUGUAACUCUAAGCAUGUGAAUAUUUACCUUGUUAACCGAAUCGAGAAAUAUGAGUUCGAAUAAAAACCAAAUUCUUGUUCGUGUACAAAAUUAUCCUUUAAAAAAUAAUUAUCCUACUGUUAUUAUUCUGUUAACUUGAGUGGAAAAUAAAAACUUGCCGUGAAAAAAACUUCGACAAGUUGACGCGCGAAAGCGAAAUCCCAGCGAAUCGAAACACUCCACGUGGCCGUCUGCUCUGCUUUCCCGCCACUUUCCUAUUGUCGGUUUGCUCUUUGGCCCCUUUUGCUGCGUUCGGUUUGUUGUAAGUCAACAGUGAAAGCAGAAAUCCGAGUCUUCCCGUUCGGCGAGUCGCUUUCAAAGAAACCUUCAAAUUCAAAUCCCCUGUAGAAAACAAUUCAUAAAUAUCCAAAGUUUUUCAAAGACCGUUUCAAAAUCCAUAUCCUCCAUUAUUUCUCAGUAGUAUAAUCUCGCAGAUUCAGUAGCCUCAAAUUCGGAAAAAUCUCACCACCAGAAAAGCUUCAUCCAGUCACCGGCGGCCGGAAACCCCAUGUCGCUUCAACGCCUUGACCCACGAAGUGCGGCGAAGAAAGCGGUUUCCGUGAUCGGGUUCGGGUACGAUUUAUCGAACGACGUCCGGCUCUCGUCCUGCAAGCCAGGUCCGUCUGGGUCGAAGCUGCUCGAGCUCGACCCGAAGAUACCCACUCGGGACUUGGUGGUUCCGGGUGGGAUAGUGGUUAAGGACGUCUGGAGCGGGAUCAAGUGCGAUAAGGGCGAACGUACUCGGUUCAAUUCCGACGUCCUGUCUUUCAAUCAAGUAGACAACAAACCCUCAACUGAAUUUUGAUUUUUUUCGAGUAUUAAUCGUGUUUUCGAAGUAUUGAAAUCGAGAAUAUUUGUGUGUGUACGAACUAGAUGUCGGAGAAGUUGAACCGGGAAUUGACCUUAUCGGGGAAGAUCCCGACAGGGAUGUUCAAUACGAUGUUUGAUUUCAAAGGCUGUUGGGCGAAAGACGCCGGUUCGGUCAAGUCGCUAGCCUUUGAUGGAUGGUUCAUUACUCUGUACAACAUCGAGCUCGAACGGUCACAUUUGACCCUCUCCGAAACGGUCAAAUCCGAGGUUCCCAAUUCCUGGGAUCCUCAGGCGCUUGCUGAGUAAAGUUUCUGCUUCAUCCUGCUGUUUCGUUGCAUUCCAACGGCUCGAGUUUAGCGGGAAAAUGUUCUAAAUUGGUCUUACAGGGUCGAUUUUUUCGCAGGUUUAUCGAGAAAUACGGAACCCAUAUCGUGGUCGGGGUGAAAAUGGGAGGUAAAGAUGCGAUCCACAUCAAGCAGUUAAAAAGAUCGACUCUUGAUCCGACUCAAGUGCAGAAGUUGCUGAAGCAGUUAACUGAUAAGAGAUUUUCGCAGGAUUCUGAAUCAUCAGCUAAACCCAAAGUAAAUGAGUGUUUAACCGAAACUUGUCUAACUCGGAUAGGAAACAGACUCGAAUUCGGAAUUCAAAUUCAAAUCCUUUUGGUAUUUGUAAUUUCAGGAUGAAGAUGCUCUACCAUUUGGAGUUCAUGGAUCUUAUUAUGCUGCUUCAAUUAGGCCGCCUGGUGUCACUCACUUAAAGAACGAGGUUAGCUUUUCUGCUCUGCUGUUUUGUAUCGAUCUUACGGCUAGUUUCUAUCGAUUCGGGUUGUCGAUGAACCAAGGUGAGCUGCUCGGUCUUCCACUUAAGAAAAGCUCGAUAGGUACUUUGCUCUAGGUUUCAAACGAUCUGGCUGGUGAGCCAACUUGGCUCGUGAGAUCGAUGAGCCUAGCUCGUGUGAGCCUCGAUUACCUGCUCGAUUGAGGUUUGUUAGUUAGCCCUAUCGGUGUAGCUCCAGAGAAUGAUUUUUCCUUAACAACAACCAUGAAUAUGAUGGAUGAAUGAAUGAUUCUUCCUUAAUGACUAGUUACUUAUUUAGCUACGAGUCUAGUCCACUUUAGAAUAAUGUGAUUUUUUAAUAAGUUUAUCAAGGUUGAGCUCAAGACUGAACUUGGCUUGUUAAGACUUGUAAACUUGGCGAGCUCGAGCUCAUUAAGAGAAACAGACGAGCUAAGCUCGAGCACUUUAAAAACUGCAAACAAGCUGAGCUCGAGCUCGUUAGAACUUGUGAAUGAGCCAAUAUGGAGUCUAGCACACAAUAAAUAGUUGAGCUAAACUCAAGCUUGAUUAUCACGACUCGAACGCACCUAUGAAUCAAAUGAGCCGAGCUCGAACUCACGCCACAAUACCAUAUUAGUCGAGCCGAGCUCUACGCUUGAUUAUCAUUUUCUCGAGCCCGCUUAUGAACCAAACGAGCUGAGUUCGAGCCGGGUAAAGCUCGGCUCUUUUCGUCAGCAGCUCCACUUCUGAUGAUAGAUUGUUUGUGUAACAGGAUUCGGUAAGUAUUAGCAUAAGAAGUGGAGGAGUGGAUGUUGGCCAAAGUCAUAAUCAAUGGCUUCCCACAAUUGUACAGUCUCCCAAUGUCAUAUCAAUGUCACUUGUUCCCAUUACUUCACUGUUGAGUGGUGUCCGUGGCAAUGGCUUCCUAACUCAUGCAGUCAAUCUUUACCUUCGAUGUAAGUUCCGAAAGGCAGUGGAAUCGUAAAGUCGUAAGAUUUCUUAUCUGUUGAAAGAAAUGUUUUGUUUCUCCCCGGUCCUGCAGAUAAACCACCCAUAGAAGAACUCCAGCAGUUCUUAGAGUUCCAAUUACCCCGAAAAUGGGCUCCAAUCUACGGUGACCUUCCGCUUACUCUCCGGCGGAGGAAACAAGCUUCCCCUUCUCUCCGUUUCACCUUCAUGGGUCCGAAGCUAUACGUGAACACGACAAUGGUACGUUUUGGAGGGGGGUUAGAUAUUGCCGAGUGAGUUAAUUGCGAAACGAUUUCUGGGAUGGAGAUGGUUUUAAGAGAUCCUGUUAAUCAUAUGGGGACAACGGCUACAUCCCAAUUAACUCGAGUUAUUGAAAAAUGUACAUAACUGUUCUACAAGUUUGACUUGGUGAAGUCGAAAUAAAUGAAAGGGUUUUCCUUGUUGCUUCAGGAUUUGUAUUUUGCUUUCAGGUUGAAUCAGGAAACAGGCCAGUGACAGGAAUCAGGUUACACUUGGAAGGCAAAAGAAGUGACCAUCUAGCGGUCCAUCUACAGCACCUCGCCACGGUUCCAAACUCGAUCCAGCUUGAGAACGACGACCACGAUAGCCACGGUGCCCAUCCGAUCGACCAGCCCGAACGAGGCUACCUGGAGCCCGUCAAUUGGACGAUAUUCUCCCACGUCUGCACCGCUCCCGUGCAGUACGACGGAGCUCGAAUCGACGACACCGCCUCGAUCGUUACCAAGGCCCGGCUCGAGGUCAGAGUCACGGGCUUAAAAAAAGUCCUGUUCUUGAGACUCGGUUUCUCCAUGGUCAAGACAGCCCGGAUCCGCAGAUCCGAAUGGGACGGACCUUCCAACACAAUGUCGAGAAAGUCGGGGAUUUUCUCGACAUUGAUGAUUAGUACCAAGUUCAGUACUAACAAUAUGAACCCGAACGAACAAGAAGUGGUUGGAAAGGUGGAUUUGAAUUCAGCCAUUUUUCCCGGUGGACCUCCCUUACCGGUUAGGGCACCGAAAAUGUCAAAUUUCGUCGACACCAGGGAGAUGGUGAGAGGUCCCGAGGACUCCCCAGGAUAUUGGGUCAUGACCGGAGCUAAGCUAUGUGUAGAGGAAGGUCGGAUUUCGAUCAAGGGGAAGUAUUCUUUGUUAGCAAUGAUUUCUGAAGAAUGUAUGAUGUUUAUGUGAGAGGUAUGACAAUUUGCUUAGGGAAACAAUUGCACAUAAUCAAUACAUGUAGAGUCCCCGUUUACUUAUAGUUAACUUCACAUAGAUAUAUAUAUAUAUAAAAUCUAGAUCUGGACCGGCUGCAAAGAGUUGGACCAUCCGACGAUGGAGGUGUAACUCGAUCAGAAAACUCUAGCGGCGGCCAUAAACAAUCUCGUAUUCUAUUGCUUGUUCAUCAAGGUAACAUCAACGUUACAGGUAAUGAAAAACAAAACUCUACUAAACCUGUAAAAUAGGUAAAGGAAAGAUUCCACUUCAUUCCCAUAAGAUACAAACUGACAACAAUGGACUGACUACAAAUUGGGGGAACCUAAACCUAGUAAAUUACUUCCUACAUUUGGUAUACUAACUCAAAAAUGGUAAGGAGAAAACUGCCUCUACUCUUCAGUUUCGGCAGCCUCAAACUGUGAUUCGACUACUCGUUGCUGCUGUACUCAUCUGACUCUCCCGAAUCGUCACUAUCUCCCGCAUCGUCGUUUCUUGCCACUUUAUCAUCCUCUCCUGAAUCGUCACUAUCUCUAGCAUCAUCGCUGUUCCUCGCCACUUUAUCAUCAUCCUCUCCUUCCUCACCGGAACCAUCCGACAUUUCUUCAUUGCCAGAAUCCUCCUCUUCCACCAUCUCUUCAUCUUCGACUCCAUUCCUGUUUUCGUCCCCGGAAGCAGCAGCAUCGCUGGAGGCUCCUUCUUGGUCCUCCUGGUCGCUCCCCUCUACCGAGUUCUCUCUCCAACCGUUGGAGUUGGAUUUUCCGCCUGCAUCAAAUCCCCGGUUCCAAGCUUCCGGUUGUUCGUACCCCUCUUCUUCGGCAGCAUUAUCGUCCUCUUCUUCGGCAGCAUUAUCGUCCGACUCUUCUGCCAGUGCAGCAGCAUCCUCAUCAGACUCAGCCGAGGAGCUGCCGCUAUCACUACCGCUACUGCUAUCCUCGCUCUUGUCGACUUGCAUCCUCCGAGUCUCGUAACUUUCUUCAUUGAAACGUCCUUUGGGAGGAGGCAUCCUCUCGGUCGCGUGGCCAAUAAAUUGCUCUCCUCUGGCAUUCACACUCUCCGGUCUCCUCUUCCGGACCGUCCUUGGACCCCGACUCGGCUCCUGAAUGUUCACCUCUCGCCUCGACGCUGCUACUAUCCCUUGCCUCUGGUUGUUCGCCGCCUGUGACUUUCGACUGCUUGUCUGGGAAGGCGGUCUAUGAGUCGGCGUUCGUCUCCGCUGCUUUUUCGACACUCGUCCUAGAUUGCUUUUCACUCUUCGACGUUUACCUACGUUCGACUUGCUCGGUGGGUUAACCGCGACCUCUUCCUUGAAGUUUUCUUGCUCGACAAGCGAAUAAGCUUGAUGCUGCUUCUGCAAGUGUUGCAAUGUAGAGAUGCUUACGAAACCGAUUCAAGUAAUAUUUUCUCAAAAAAUGAGAACACGACCAACCACUUACCGUUACAAGUGUAUCGAGAUUGUCAUCAGAAGGCAUAUCCUUUUCUUGCUUUACGUAAAUGAUGGAAGCGUCCAGCUCAAAGAGUCUCAGAGCCACGGCUGACAUGGUUCUUGGUAUCCACGGAAGUACGCGAACCGAGGCCAAAUCAGAUUUUUCAUUUAGUGUAGUUAUCCCAAGUAAUUCCUUCGUAGAUUCGUAAUUAGGUGACAAGAAGUCUGGUUUUAUGGCACUCUCAAACGCACUCAGCAUCUGUCAAAGCAUAUCACUCGAUUAGCAAACCUUAUUUGAUAAAUUAUCGUCGUAUCAUGACAUGAAUUGCUUUGCAAACCUGAAGAAGUUCUUCAAUCGAUGACAAUGCCGCCAAUCUCCUGCUCCACGACUUUCUAUGGCUCUCGGUCCAAAACGAUUCAAGAGCUUCCGCUGGAACAAAUGCCUGUCGAUAGGUACAAAAAACGAAUUAGCGAGUCACUUCAAUUGUGAAUCUAGAACAUAAAAAUACUCGGCAAAAAAUGUGAAACUCAGUUCACCUCAAUUGAAGCUAACAGAGCCUUAAGCAGAUUGAUCCCCAGUGGUAGAGAUGGAUUAGACCCACAGGCAUCCGUGGGGUCUGGCUUACUUCGUUUACUGCAUAUAGCUUCGUGUUCUCCAAAAUCAAAAUUGCCACCACCAAAAGUCUGGUGGCAAAAAAUGCAAUGGCAAUCUUCGGAUGCGUAAGAGUCGAGACAAGAGUCGCAUGCAUCCAACAGUUGUCUGGAUCGUUUCUUUCCGAACUUCAUUGCACAUGAUGCCGUUGGGCUGAGGCUUUCUUUCCAAAUCCACAUCUGCAGAUCCUGAUACCUCCGCAACACCCCCCGUUUCUCCCGUUCGUUCCUCCCAAUCUCGAUUCGGAACAAAGAAAAUACAUCAUGUAGAUUGGAGUUCGUUCCGCAAACCAAACUGCUAGGGCUUUCCGUACCAGCUGAACAAUUGGGGCUGGAGUCUCUUAGUGAGACUUCUUCUUCCAUUGAUUUGCUAGAUUGCAAGCUCGUCCUAACAGUAUCUUUGAAGGACAUCUCAAUCUUCUUCAACAUCAGACGCAAAUGGGAUUCCCUAAUCCCACGACUAUCCAAGGACGACAAAAGGGCAUCGAACUCCUGCGAGAAAAUCCAAUCAGAGACAAAGUCAUUACAUAACCAGAAAACAUAACUAGAAUAUUUCAUCAUCAUUUUUUGGUUUCGAGCAUUACCUUUUCAGAAUCAAUAACCCUCCAUGUUCCAUUUUGUAAUUCAACAAAGAUCCUACCAGAGCAAGGAUCACUAUGAGAAGCAGAAGCAACAAACAGCCAGUACCGGUUACGCCUGCGAUCUUGACCAAGUGGCAGUGACCUAUAAAUAUAAGUCUCUUCUGCAACAUGGGCAGUAUACGCUUUCAGUUGUGAUCUGAACCUUUUAGAACUAUACCCAAGUUGUAGAUCUUGAACAGCUGCAGUUCUGUCGUCGUGAAAAUUGCCAUUCUGUACAUUCUCAGACGUAAGAAGUAACUUCUGUUCCUCUAUAAUGUUUCGAGAAGCGUCCUUAAAGUCAUCAGCUUGAUGCGAAGGACUAGGGUUACCAGACGGUACCUCCAAUAUCUGAAUUACAUCAUCUCUCAAAUGACUCCUAUCCGAUUGCGCCUCAGCCCACAUCUGUUUUUUAAGAGCAGUCGCAGCUUCCAACCGGUCCUGCAAAGGGAGAUAUAGAGUUAGGAGAAGGAAAAUAGAUACCACAAGCCAAAAGAAUUGCAGCAAUGAUCUGAUGUAUUCACCUCAAGAACAGAACGUAUGAUACUACCCUCGUUUGCAAUGCCAACCAGCUUGAAAAGGGCAUCGAGACGCUCCUCAACACUGAGAUGAGAAUAUUCUCCCUCUGCAAGUCCUUGAACCCAAGAUUCACCAAACUUGCUUUCAUCAAUUUCAACGUUCUCUUCCUUCGCAUUACCAACCAAGGGAUUUCUAUCAGCAAAUUGGUCAAUUGUACCAGGAGUACUUGUUUCUCUUGCCCCAUUCUCAGGGAAUCGAGAGAGAUCAUUCUCAGAUUCACUCUUUACAAUUAAUGACGACCAAAUGUGUGGAUCAUCAUUUUCGAUUUCCGUCGGACCAUUUUCUUUUUCAUCAUCAUUGUCAUUCCCGAAUGGAGUAUGAACUCCAUUAGCUUGGCCAACAAUUUUAUCGGCGUGCAGUGGAGUACUCAGAUCAUCAACUUCAGGAUCGUCAUCAGCUUCAGCCUCGGAAUCAUCAUCUCGUUCGACAUCAUCAGCAACCUCGUCAGCAUCCUCUUCCUCCAAAAACCCAUUUGCAAAAACAUACAUUUUCUUUCUUGCUUCUGCAAGUAUCGCCUCUCCAUCUGCUGGAUCCUUCCUGUAAGGAUCCCGCAGACAAUAUGUUGAAGGAGCAACUCUUUCAAAGAGCUUCUGAUCCCUAGUUAAAGCAACAGAUAUAGACGCCUCUGGAGUCCUGCUUGUUGAGAAGUCCCGAAGUCCGGAUUUCUGUAGCACAGGAAAAUUUUAGAACAAGUGAACUGAAUGGCAGAACAAGCCAUACUAGAGAAGAAGCUCACCUGAAUCUUAUCUGCGAGUUCUAUCAACGUCAAUCCCUCACUUCCUUCGAGUGAAAGAACAUGAAAAGCAGCAAAUUUUACUGUUCCAGGUGUAAGUCUGUGCCUAGAUUUCCGUGGAUUUAAUAAACCUUUUUCUCGCAUCAGUGCAAAAGCAUUUUCAGCUGCCAAUCCAUUCCGUAAAUUCAAAACUGUCUCUUGAUAACGGUUGGCCUAUGAGAGAAGAUAUUGUUCCAUCAGUCUUUGAACAGAAAAUCACACAGUAGUAUCAUAUCUAUUCAUAACACUACGACCCGACUUUCGCACGUAGGCCAAACCUCAUCAUUUGAGUGCCUCCAUGCUGCAUUCUUGUCCCGCAAUUGUGGCCCAAAACCUGCAGACAGGGCCAACUCCCGCAAUAUUUCAGGCCAAGAUAAUGGAUUCAAGAGUUGCUGCCACUUGCGUAUGUCAAAGCCCCACAUGUAUGCCUGCAGAAGCACAAAAAGCACAUCCUGGAUCAAGACAUGAAUACUCCCGUCCUCCCCAAAACACGAUAUGAAAAUAAGAAAAUAUUUGGAGAUUACCCCUUCAACAAUCUGUGGAUGUCCGCCUUCAGGAUUAGCUACAGAAUACUGGUUCGUCCCUAAUCCAGUUGGUGCCCUACCACCAUCUUCAAUGUCCUUAAUGAUUAAUUUCAAAAGACUAAUGUGUAUCUCACCCAGCAACCUUGAAUCCUAUGAACAUAAUGGUAUCAAUAUAAGAACGAAAAUGGAGAAUAUUCUGUCUGUGUUAUGAGUGAAGAAGAAAGCUAAGAAAAUAUUAGGAUUUCAAUAGUAACUCACAUAGUCAUGAAGCGCUUGAAUAAACUCAUCAAGGGUAAAUGGCCAUAAUCCAAGGACAUCAGCAAAAGUUAUGCAGAACCUCCAGAUCUGAGAAAUACAGUUUGUAGUCAGAUUCCAGAACAAGAGGGCUAGAUAAAAUAUUCUUUCAAAUAAUGGUCUCUAUGACAAAGGACAUUUUUCCCGACAGAGAAGCUUUAGUCCUUCAUUAAGUAUUAGAUAAAACGAGUAGACAGCGAACAAAGACAAAAAGUACCGCUUUUCAAGGAUUGAAGUUACAAAAAUGCUUGCAUCUUCCAGUAUGAGGAUGCUGAACAAAUAAAUACUAUAGCCAAUAUUUGCGUAAUGUACCAUCAGAAGGUUUCCAACAUUAUCUUCUGAAUCCACCCAAGGCUGAAAGCUAAAUGGCUUCUUCAACUGUAUCGACUCCGAUGGGAAUGUGCAUAAAGAAUCUAGAAACAAAAACAGUGUUAUGAACAGCUCGGAUAAUGAAAUACCUAAACAGUGUUAUAAAACCCAAUCAACAUUUUUUCCGCCAUACCUCUGAAUGCAUCAAGAGUUUGCAUUGUAUUGUAGUCUAGUUGAACUAUUGAGGACAACCCUUUAUUUGCAGCAGCCAAUUCCAUGAGCUCCAACUGUUCAUCCUCAAUAAGAUCCAAAGACUCUUUGGCAAUUCUCCGUGCAGUUGCUUUCUCAAUGGCAGCUUUGCGUCUAACUUCCUCUCUUUCUUUCCUUUGCUCGUCCCUUUGCUUCUGCUUUUCAGCCUUCACAAAAUAUAAACUUGUUUAUUUUCUUAACAAGAAAAGGGACAACCAGAGUGAUACAAAAUAUAGAAAGAUCAGAUCAAAGUUCAGAAACCUACACACCCUUAAAUACUCUUUCUGCAACAUCUUUUCCCUCCUUUCUAGCUCACGUUUUUGUUCACGCAAUGACUUCUCCUCGUCUCGCUGUCUUUCACGGAUGAGUCUCUCUUCUUCCUUCUUUCUUUCACGGUCUUGCCUUUCCAUUUCUUUCCUCAUUCGCUCUUCAUUCUAUUUUGCAUGGAAAAUUAAAAUCUGAUUGGUAAAUAUGAAUGGCUUUGCCUUGCUAGUAUAUCACGAGCAGUAGUUUACUAAAGAACGAAAUGAUUACCCUGCGUCUCAGUAAGUCUUGUUUCUCAAUCUCUUUUCGCGUUCGACUUUCCUGGGCUUCAGCUUCCCGAAGUCUUGCUUCUUCAUUCUGCCAGAUGAAAACAAAGAAAUAAGUACAAAUGUACAAUAGUGAAUUACACUUCAGGGGUAAAGUUAUUUGACUUCAAACCUUUAUUUUCGGUUUCUUCUCUGUCAUAAAAUCUGAUUCACCAUGGAAGACAUUGGCAUCCUGGAAUACACUUGUAUUUUCAGGUGCCAACAUAUGAUGACUGGUAGAUUCACCACUUAUUCUAUGAUUUUGAAAGGGGUGCGCUUGCGGAAGAUAGUCAUCAUCCCUUUGAGGUGAUGGAAGAAGAUGACUUUUCCCUUCGUGUGCAGACAAAAGGCGUACACGGGAUGCAGGAGUUUGGAUACCAUGAACUCUGGGCAAACGUUCAUCUCCACGUACAGACGUUGAAGUUCUCCUCAUUGAAGUAUCAGCUGGCGUAUCAUGGUACGAAUGUUGGGUAACUUGUCGAUAUGUGUCAGGUCUUAUGCUGGAUUGAUCCUGGAGAAACUGAUACUCAUGAACAACUCUUCCAGAGGCCUGAUAUUGGAUUAACCAAUUUAGUAAGCACAGGCAACAUAAAAAGCGUCUAUAUUGACUGGAGAUAAACUGACCAACUAAUCAAAACUUGUUCAGCAGUUGAAGUAUUGCUCUCAGUUUAGCAAGUCCAUAGGGUGACUAUAGCAGGACCAGCAUGGCAAUAUAACAUAGGCAAAUCGAAUAGAUAUCAUCAAGACCACAAGUCCAAAUAAUGAUAAAAGCACAACAUUCAUCCUAAAUUGCAUGCAAGUCACAUAAAUUGCAUGCGAAGCACAUAUCCACGGGAGAGACUGAAGACAAAACCUUUUUUGAUUUCCCUUCACGUCGUUGAACUAUCUUCUCUUCAUAAGAAUAGCGCUUCUGCUCUUCCACCACUGCAGCUGCACAGAACACAAAGAAUGUAUAUUUCUCCUAUUAAUCGGGCUUAAACGCGCAUUGAGAGGCAGCUAAGUCUUUAUCAACAAUUGUAACUUUUACUAUAGUCAAAUGAAUCACAUCCUGUCGUUUACGUAGCAUACCAAUUGGGGCACCAAAAGCAUCAGGUGGCAAUGUAUCAAACUCGAUUCCUAAGAUCGGACCAUCCUCCCUCAAAGGCUCCCCCAAUUGUGCCUCCACACAUGCAAUAGCUCUAACCAGAAUAGCCGACUGCCGUGGUGGCUCUUUAUACCCCCUCGACAUCGGCACAUCAGCCACUGGCAUUCUUCUCGGAUCUGUACAAGGGCUGGAACCAGAACCUGAGCCAGAUCCAUAGUUACUUCCAUGAUCAGGAACUUCAGCCUUGACAUCCUCCACAGGAGAUUCCGGCAUGGGCAGCGCUUUCCGAGGCUUCUUUGCCGGAGUCUUCUCUUCUUUCUUCUCCACUUUCUUCUCUUCUUUCUUCUCCUCCCUUCUGUCUUUCAACCUCCUAUGGCAAAACCACAUCUGCAAUUGCCUGUCCGCUAGUCCCAAUUUCUUAGCUAACUCUAUCCUCGUAGCCUCUGUUGGGUAUGUCUCCACUGAUACAAACAAUACAAAACCCAACUUCAAUGAAACAAUACACAACACUUGCACACAUAACUUCAAUGAAAUCAAGCUGCUAGAGAUCCAAACCCACGGAAACGGAACCAAAAACAUUCCUUCUACAGUUCAACAACGUUUUUCCAACUUCCAGAAAUUCUCCCACCAACAAUCAGCGGAUCAAGAUCGAAAUCAUGUAUGCAAAAGGAAGGCAGCAAAGAAAGAAACACGAACCGGAAUAAGCUUUCUCGAGGGUUUCGAGCUGGAACGGAGUCUUCAUCUGACGUUUGGGCUUUCCGUCGCCGCCACCGCCGCCGCCGCCGGAGCCAGAUGCGACGCCCUUGUUCGGCUUCCUGCUCUGGUAAUCUUCUCCGUCGGAAUUGGAAUCCAUCUCGUGAACGCGAUCCAAAUCCAGCGAAAAUCAACGAAAUUAGGGUUUCUGAAUCGCAGAAGACAAACACCAAUCCUGAAUCCUCACACCCAAAAGCGAACUCUGGAUUCGAUUUGCCUCCUCUCUGGCCUAAGAAACUCCCAAAGAGAAAUCGACGGAGGCGGAGGAACAAAGGAUUAACAACAACCCUAACAUGGGAUAAAAGGAAAAUUCGAAGCACAAACCGAUUGAAUGAAGAAUUGGGGAUUUGGAUUGGAGGGAUCCGGAAUAGCAGUAUUAGUAAAAAAGAAAAAAAAGAUUAAAUUAAAUACAAAUGAUUAUAAGAACAAGUAACUAUCACACAGAAGAAUAACUGAACAGGAUUUAAAGUUUUCCGUAUACAAAAGGAAAAUAAAAAGAAAAACUUUAUAAGGAUUUAACUGUCACAGACAUAAUCGUGACAAAUACCCAAACGCCCAAAAUUCAUCCAUCCAAGUUCGUCGAUGUUCGAAGACUGUUCUUUAGUCCUUUUUCUGCGCGGAGAUAAGAAAGCGAGUUGCUUCGAUCUCCGAUUCAUUUUUUUACAAUGUUUCGAAGUGAAUUUUGAAUAUUGAGUUUAUGAUCUUUGUUUGAUGACUGUGAAAUCAAUGUCUGGAUUCGAGCUUGCUGAUGGUUCUUCUUUGAAACGCUGACGGGAAUCUUUGAAGCUCGACAAAGAAUUUGAGUUUUGUUGUUUGUGUCAAAAAUUUGGCGCGGGUGGCUGGACUUUCCCGCCUUUAUGUGUGGGCUGGGCUUACUUCGUAACAAUUAAAUUACUGGGCUGUGCCCAAAUAGUUGCAUUUUCCUUUUCUUUUUCUUCAUAUAUCUGGCCGAUCCGAAUAAAUUGUCAUCGAUUUGAAAAUCAUGAGACGAUAAAUCAGAAUGUAACACGUUGUUUAAAGUUACAGGACCAAUUAGUUAUUGGAACGUUCUUAUAGUUAUUGGAACUUUCUUAAAUGAAAGGUGAAAGCUUUGAUUAUAAGUUCGAAAGAACAUUAUCCAACAAAGAAAUAAAUUUGAUUAGAGGGUGAAAUACAAAUGACUAAUAGUUUCACUCAUUUUCGGGAGUCAUACCCAUAUCCGACAACUCCAAAUUGUAGUAUCGUCGAAAUUAAUGAUCAGAGGAUUGAGCUGGCAAUUUGCCAACUCGAUCGUAGAUGGUGAAAUGGGAAAUGGUGACGGAUAGACUCUCGAACAACAACGAUCGAUAUGCUAACUAGGGCUAAUAAUGGAAAAUAUGAACACAACGUUGCAUAACUAAAUCUAAAUUUGAUACCUCUAAAUCACCAACACCCAACGUCACCCAACCGAGUUGGACGAUACUAUUCCCUCGCAGACAUUAUCAACACUUGUGGGUUAGAUCAGUAAUUAAACACUUUGACAAAGGCAUUAAUAAAAAAUUCCAACUCAAUUCUCAGUCAAAAAUCCUAAUCCGAUUCGGAUUGGGAGGAAAAGUACAGAGAAAUGAAGAAUACAGCCAACCGUCAGCCAUCACCAACCCAACCAGAAAAAGUCAUCAAAUUUCCACAACUAGAUCUCACCCAAGUUUCAAAGUCUCCUCCUUUACCCAAAAAAUCCAACAUUUUCCAAACCCAUAAACCACCAACCUUCAUCAUCAUCAUCAACCCAGAAACCAAAACUCCAAACUAUGAACAACAACACGGUGGAGCAAAUAUCAUACGACUUCGUCCUCGCCCUUCUCUCAAUAAUCCUAAUCCUCCUCAUCAUCUCCCUCUUCCUCUCCUGCCGAAACCGAUUAACCCAUCUCGAAAACCAAUCCGAAACCCGACUCGAAAACCCCCCACCCCAUCCUCCUCCUCCUUCCGCCAGAGUAUACAAUUUCACCGACAUCAAUACAGCCACCGACGGGUUCAACCCACAACGGAUAAUCGGCAGAGGAAACACAAGCACAAUAUACGCCGCCGUUUUGUCGCGAAACGACGACGUCGUGGUGGCGGUGAAAAGAAUACACCCGACACUCGUUCUACGAAAUGCCUCGCUGGGAUUUUCAGCAACAAUCAAGAGUACUCUGUUUUCUUCUUCCUCUGCCCACCCGAACGUCGUCGGUAUGUUGGGUUACUGCCAGGCUCCAGGGGAGAGGGUCGUGGUGAUGGAAUUCAUCGGGAUGGUGAAUUUGGAUUGCCUGUUGCAUGAUUCUAAAGAAGGGAAAUUGUUGCUGGAUUGGAAUAGACGAUUGAGGAUCGCGGCAGGGGUUGCGAGGGGAAUCGAGUACUUGCAUGAGAAGAUGGGUUCUUCGGGGAUCGUCCAUGGAUGUGUGAAGUCGUCCAAGGUUUUGCUCGACGGCGAAUUGAAUCCCAAGGUAGAAUCGAUUUUGGUAACGAACUCUACUCAAUUCACUUUGAUCGCCUUUCAAUUUCUUCACUGGUUCAUUUGGGGAAAUGCAGAGGCUUAAUAUCUAUGGUGGUCAUCAACCUAUUGGGUUUGGAAAAAUAAUAAUCAUGCAACUUUUAAUGUGAAACAUACAUAUCACUGAUACAUUUUAAUAUAACAAUAUGAUCAUUCCAUCAACCAUUCAUUCAAAAACUUUGUUUCUUUGUUUCGUACUUACGUGACGGUAUAAUUGAUAUAUUAUCAAAUGACCCAUUUUCCUCAUUAUCAAUUGAGCAUUUUGUUCUUUUUUUAUUGUUAAUUUUUCGGUAGAAAAUACUGAACCAACAAUUUGUUAAUUCUUUUGAAAUGAUGAAAUUAAAUAUUUUUUUUGAAAUAUAAUAAAUAGAGAGAGCACAAUUAUUAGGCUGGUCAUAAUUUGAUGUGAGCAGAAUUAUAUUUUUUCUAAAAUAUCUAUUUAGGCCCCUGUAGUUAUCGACUUUACAAAUAUAAAGAGACAAACUUUACAAUUUUACAAUUCGACCUCAUGAACCCUCAA